GAUCAUGGCUCAGGAUGAACGCUAGCUACAGGCUUAACACAUGCAAGUCGAGGGGCAGCAUGGUCUUAGCUUGCUAAGGCUGAUGGCGACCGGCGCACGGGUGAGUAACACGUAUCCAACCUGCCGUCUACUCUUGGCCAGCCUCUGAAAGGAAGACUUAAAUCCCAGGAUGGGAUCAUGAGUUCACAUAGUCCGCAAUGAUUUAAAAGGGUUAUUUUUCCCGGUAAGACGAUGGGGA
rnacentral:rRNA from 1 species